rnacentral:piRNA from 1 species
UGACGAUGUACCAUCUGGAACCUUCGG